rnacentral:rRNA from 1 species
UACGUAGGGUGCGAGCGUUGUCCGGAAUUACUGGGCGUAAAGAGCUCGUAGGGGGUUUGUCGCGUUGUCCGUGAAAACUCACAGCUCAACUGUGGGCGUGCGGGCGAUACGGGCAGACUGGAGUACUGCAGGGGAGACUGGAAUUCCUGGUGUAGCGGUGGAAUGCGCAGAUAUCAGGAGGAACACCGGUGGCGAAGGCGGGUCUCUGGGCAGUAACUGACGCUGAGGAGCGAAAGCGUGGGGAGCGAACAGG